AGGAAGGAGAGAGAGAGAGAAAGAAAGAAAAAGAGAUAAAGAAAGCGAGUACAGGGUAUUCUGGGCACAGGUCAGGAAAGGCCUUCUAAAGAGGUGGUGAGUCCAGAUGCUAACCCAAAGGAAGAGUAGGCAUCAGCCAGGCCAAGGGGUGCAGACAGGGAAGAGCCAUCGGGAAGUGAAAACCACACAUGGGAACCCUUGAGGCCAGAAAGAGCACGUGUGUUUGCGGAACUAAAAGAAGGCGGGCAUUGCAGCAGCAUUCAGAGCAAGGCAGAUCACAGUGAGCAUUUAUAGAGCACCAAAGAGACGGGGUUUU
rnacentral:lncRNA from 1 species